rnacentral:rRNA from 1 species
AUUGAACGCUGGCGGCAUGCUUUACACAUGCAAGUCGAACGGCAGCACGGGUGCUUGCACCUGGUGGCGAGUGGCGAACGGGUGAGUAAUGCACCGGAACGUAUCCAAUAAUGGGGGAUAACGCAGCGAAAGCUGUGCUAACACCGCAUACGCCCUGAGGGGGAAAGCGGGGGAUCGCAAGACCUCGCGUUAAUGGGGCGGCCGAUGCCGGAUUAGCUAGUUGGUGGGGUAAAGGCUCACCAAGGCGACGAUCCGUAGCUGGUCUGAGAGGACGACCAGCCACACUGGGACUGAGACACGGCCCAGACUCCUACGGGAGGCAGCAGUGGGGAAUUUUGGACAAUGGGCGCAAGCCUGAUCCAGCCAUGCCGCGUGAGUGAAGAAGGCCUUCGGGUUGUAAAGCUCUUUCGCAAGGAAAGAAAACUUAGCCACUAAUACUGGCUGAGGAUGACGGUACCUUGAUAAGAAGCACCGGCUAACUACGUGCCAGCCGCCGCGGUAAGAC